CUCCCACCAUUUCCCAGACCUGAACAAUAGAAUUGGUGGCACAUGCACUUUUCUGCACAAAGUGUCAGUUAGGUCACGAAUCACUUAUUUAAUGUGCCUGAUAAUGUUGAGGAGAUAAUUGCUAUCUUUUUGCUCACAGCUUCUGUUCCUGAUGUAGAAGAAUACAUGCAUGAAAACUUUGGAAAAGUUAUGUGGAACUAGCAACUCUUAAUUUGUAUAAACAAUGAUGUCAAAUAAAUAUAUAGUUUCAGUGACUGCCAGAAGUCUUGCUACUCAGAUAGCAUGGAGCCGAACAUUGCUGAAACACUCAAUCAGCAGUUCCUGUUGGCCAACAGUAGAAGAAGUUGUCAUUGAAACCAUUUUUUGUCCGUGUAUCCCUUUGAGGGUUUUUUUUUAACAGAGCUUGAGAUAUGAAGAUACUAAUAAUGGCUCUUUUUCUGAAAUGUGAUACUUGCUAACCUGCAUGUGUGUGUGUGUGUAUAAAUACAUAUACACACACAUUAAGUUAUAGAGAACAGGGUGUUAUUGUCUGAUCAAUGGUGGAAAAUUAAAAAAAAAAAAAAGUUUUCAAAGUAGUAAAUAGUAUAUUUUGUUUACAAUAAGAAAGUAGAAAGGAGAGGAACAAUUUCAUUAAAACUUACAAGUACUAAUUCAUUUGGAUGAACAUGGUGUGACUUCAUUUGAAUAUCUGAAUGUUAAUUGCAUUGACAUUGUUAUUAAAGCAAUUAACUUAUCUGCUAUUUUUUACUAUGACUAAUCAACUGCAAUGAAGUAGUAUGGCUUGAAACUUUAUAGAACUAUAUCCACAGAAUGAUGGUCAGAUUGUUCUCUCUUAAAAAAGACAACAGAUUUAUUUGCAAAUAUUAAUUUCAAUUAGAUUUAAUUUGGUGAGAAAUAAAUCAUCAAUCAUUGUUAAUAAUAUGUGAUCCAGCAUAUAAGCUGACUGUGUAUAUUCACCACUGUAUGUAGCCAGAAGGUUUUUCCUAGAGAACACAAAUAAUGUUUUAAGUAUUGGUCUUGAAGAACAAUUUAUUAUUUACCCAUUAGGGAGAGUUAUUAGUCUGUCUUAACACACUGAAAAUCUAAUUUUCUUUAAAAAAAUAUUAAUUAUUCCUGCUAGCCAAGAAGAGCUACAUCAUUAACCUCAAAUGAAUAGUAAUAAACAAAAAUAGUUUAAAAGCUUUAUUAAGUUCAAUUAAUUGGUUGUAGCAGACUAAUUCUGUCAUGCUUUGGUAGACAGUGUAUUGUAAGUAAUUUUGAUGAUCUCCAAUUGUGUUGGGCAAACAAGCCUGCACACUAAAGCAAAAAUUGAAUUGUCUUGAUAAUUACAAAAAAACACUGGCCUGUUUGGUAUUUGUGAUAAAUGGGUUAAUUAGCAACUUUUUUUUUAUAUUACAUCUAGACUUUCAGUGCAGUAGAACAAUGGUAAUUUAUUUUACAGUGUAAACUAGCAUGAUCAAAAUUCUAUUGUCCAGAUCGAUUCAGGAUAAACAUUUUUAGAGCUACUUGGUUUAAUAUUAGAUAUGUAUGACUGUGAGCAUGGAUUUCAUUAUUUUCAGUUUGUUUCCAUAAUUUUGAAACUUGGUUCUAUGCUACUUAAUUUUCAGUCUCUUCCCUUAUGUUAAAGCAAAACUUCUCCCAGUUCAAAGGGCCCAUCAAAGUCAGCCCUAAGGAAAUUCGGUACUGGUGCUACUGCAUACACUUUAAAUAGGUAGUGUGCAUAUAAUGAAAAAGCCUUUCUAGUAGCCAUCUCAUUACUCUGGUGGAUGAAAAGUUUUCAUUGAGGAAAUAUUUGUAAGAAUGUAAAUCUAAAAUCACAGUCAUACUCUAAUUUUGUUGCUGUUAAGCUUACUUAAAGAGUUCUGAAGCAGAUCACCAUGCAAAAGUAGUCAUCUAAGCACAGGAAAAAGUACUGUAUUGAUCUAAAGGUUUUCUUCUUUUUUCUUUUUUUUUUUUUUUUCAUUGUGGCAGGACUCCCUUGAAGUUGAUUUAACUUCUUUUCCAAAAAGCUGUUCUGUUGUCCAAGUGAGUGUAUGCUGCAGCACCUAAAGCACUUCCUUCAGUUCUGCUUGAAGCAAAUCUUUAGCUCUGAUUUUUCUGAGGAAAAAAAAAUAUAUAUUAUAUAUGUCAAACUAAAAGGCGUAUUCAAGAUAUUUUCUUCUUCAUUUUCCUGCAGGAACCAGACUACACUCCAGUGUGUUUAGAUGUGUACUCUAUAUACUUGCUGAAAAAUCUAGUAAAAGAAAAAAAAAUUGAAGCUUUUUGUGACCUGAUACUUUCUGCUCUUUAUGCUUCUGCUAAUUUUGCCAUAGUGAGAUAACUUGCUAAAUGUUAGAUAUUUUGACUAUCUUCUUAUUCGUUUUUUUAUGCCAUGAUUUAUCUGAGAGAUCCAUUUUUUCAUCUGAUCUCUUCUGUCCUCGGUCAUCUCUUCCUUUUGCAAUAUCAUCUUAAUCUUUGUUUUAUUCUUGUGACUCUAAAAUAAAUCUGAGAGUAACAGGCUCACUUCCUGGUUAAUUUUUGAUAUUUGAAACCAAACAAUUUUCGAGUAUGCUUCAGAAUUCUGAGAUAAAAUUUUAUUUAUAGAAUUUUUCCUUUAUUUGCGUAUUUGAUUCUUUUUGUGGUCAUUUAUACUCACUGACGUGCAAGUAGUUUUAACAGCCUUGUUACAUAGCUCUUUCAUGCAACACCAUUUUGAUAUAAAACUGGAGUCUGGCAUACUUUUCUUUUUGGAGCUUUACGAAUGUUUACUCAAAGGAAUUACUAUUGUUAGAAAGUUAUUUUUACAGUAGAUCGUGACACUGUGGAAAUCUAAAAACAGAAAGUGCAAGGCAAAAAUGAAACACUAGGAGUGCUUGUUUAUUUUAGAGAAAAUUUUAGUCAUUAUUUUUUCCCUGAGUGUUUUUUUUUGUUUUGUUUUGUCUAUAUGUGAGGAUAUGUUUUCAUACAUUUGUUAUCAUUCAGCACAAUUCUGCAUAAAGACAGCAUGUGCAGGGGUGUUGCACAGCAGAAAGGGAAUUUAUUUUCUGUAGUCAUUUCUGGUGUUAUAUGUAACCUGUGGGGUGUACUCUGCAGUAUUGUAUUCUGUGCUGGGUGGAACUGAUGCCCGUCCUUUACUGUGAGCAGGUGUUUGUAUCAUACUGCAUAUUGGUGAUCAGGUCAGAAAAUCAAGUGCAGAGUCUGCCUGGCAGGCCGCUUCCACAAGACCAGGGAACUGGGCAAUGGAAGGCUUGGUGUGGCACGUACAUGCAACCCAUUUUAGAAAUAACCUGGUUAAAGCCUGUGCUUCUCAGUCUAUUUUAUACAUUGAUGAUCUUGAAGAACUGGCUUCCUUCUUCAGUAUCAAUUCUUUCCUUCUGUACAUGCAAACACUUGUAGAACAUUCAUACACAUUGAUAUAAUAUUAAUUAUAAAGUACUGUGUGGAAGCAUUUAAUUUUAUCAAAAAGUUAAUUGUUACAGUUUAGCAUAUUACAACAAAUAUAUUAUGUCUGAAGUUAGUUUGCCUGCAUAUUUUAUAUAAACACCAUGUAAUGUGCCUGGCAUGACAGAAACAGAAUAACAUCUUUUUCGCAUUUGAAUAUUAACACCUCAAGUAGAUUUAUUGGUGAAUUUCAUUUGCUGUCAAACACAUAGCAUUUAAAAUCUUAUCUAUUCAUUAGAAAAUAGUUUAUUUUUGAAUAGGUGAAAUAAGGAGAAAAUGUUGAAUGAUAUUCUCCAGUGGUAUAAAUUUAACUACUUGAUCUUAGCAGUGACUGAAGGAAGUUUAGUGUUAUGUUUGCAGUCAGCAACAAGAUAAAAUGAACAUUUUUUAUUUCUUUUUUUUUUUUUUUAGGCAAAUUGUAUUUAGAGAAAAUUAAAAAAAUAAAAAAUAAACCUAUCCCAGCACUCCACCCUCCCAUAAACCUGUGUUCGUUAAAUCAGAAAUAUGUAUUUGCUGUUCAGAGUCAUCACUAAUGCAUGGCUUUAUUGCUGUAUAGGUCAACAGGCUAUUCAGAGUACAUAUCUUAUCAAAUUUCAUCAGUGGAAUCUUUUGUCUCCUGAGGUACAAGGUAGUUUUGCAGUUUCUGGAAGAACAUUAGGUAGCAGGGUGCUUUCAUCUUGCAUUUAAUACCUGUAGGGAAGGCAUGUUCAUAGUGUUGCCAGUUUCAAGAUAUGUAAAUACUACCUGUUUAAAGAAAGAUUUGUCACUGAAGAACUGAUUUUCGAGCAAUAACUGUUUUUGUUUGUUUGUUUUUGUUGGUUUUGUUGGUUUUUUUUUCCAAUUUAAAAGAGGCUUUUGCUCUGUAUGUCACUAUUUAUCACAGAAUUUGAAUUAACUGAAGCUUUUUUUGCAC
rnacentral:lncRNA from 1 species